UACAGAGGUCCCGAGCGUUGUUCGGAUUUAUUGGGCGUAAAGGGUGCGUAGGCGGCCCGUUAAGUCAGUGGUGAAAGCCUCCAGCUCAACUGGAGAACUGCCAUUGAUACUGACGGGCUUGAGUACAGACGAGGUUGGCGGAAUUGAUAGUGUAGCGGUGAAAUGCAUAGAUACUAUCAAGAACUCCGAUUGCGUAGGCAGCUAACUAGGCUGUAACUGACGCUGAGGCACGAAAGCGUGGGGAGCGAACAGG
rnacentral:rRNA from 1 species